CCUACGGGAGGCAGCAGUGGGGAAUAUUGGACAAUGGGGGGAACCCUGAUGCAGCGACGCCGCGUGAGUGAAGAAGGAUUUCGGUAUGUUAAGCUCUAUCAGCAGGGAAGAAAAUGACGGUACCUGUCUACGAAGCCCCGGCUAACUACGUGCCAGCAGCCGCGGUAAUACGUAGGGGGCAAGCGUUAUCCGGAUUUACUGGGUGUAAAGGGAGCGCAGACGGCUGUGCAAGUCUGGAGUGAAAGGCGGGGGCCCAACCCCCGGACUGCUCUGGAAACUGUAAAGCUGGAGUGCAGGAGAGGUAAGCGGAAUUCCUAGUGUAGCGGUGAAAUGCGUAGAUAUUAGGAGGAACACCAGUGGCGAAGGCGGCUUACUGGACUGCAACUGACGUUGAGGCUCGAAAGCGUGGGGAGCAAACAGGAUUAGAUACCCUUGUAGUC
rnacentral:rRNA from 1 species